UAUAGUGGACGAAACACUUCAACAACAGCGAGUCAUCCACCUCCGUAGCAAACAUAGCUGAAAGAUUCAAUCUGUUUAGACUGUUUCGGUGUAUAUUAUCCACUAUGUUUUAAACACACUUCUGUCGGCUUAUGCCGUUUAGCUAGUUACCCCCUUUAAUUCCAUAUUUAGCUUUCUAGUAGCUAGCUGGAUGGCUAACAUCCCCGACCAUGAGGUCAGUGAGCUACUCUCCUGCUAAAUAAGAGGUCUGCUGGACUGAGAAAGAGAGCCUGUGGUAGAACAUUGUUGUGAAAGAGGAGAAGGAAGAGGAGGACGUUACAGUGAAAGAAGAGGCGGAGGAGGCGACUAGGGAUCUGAUUAACAACAAACAUUCAGUACUAUCUUGGAAACGGGCACAAACUGCAGUUGUUGAACUGAUGCAGGUUUAAACUGAGAGAGACCAGACCUUCUGACAGCAGGAAGAGUCCUUCAGGGGAACCAGACCCUGAGACGUCCAAACCAGCAGGACGACAUCGCUGCUCCGAGUGUGGAAAGAGUUUUACUCAGUUAGGGAGCCUGAAAACACAUAAGAGAAGACACACAGAAGAGAAGCCUUACCACUGCUGCUUGUGUGGAAAGAGUUUUAGGUGGUUAGGGAGCGUGGAAAGGCAUGAGAGGACACACACAGGAGAAAAGCCUUUCUAAUGUUCCCAUUGUGGAAAGAGUUGUACCCAGUUAGGGAGCCUGAAGGAGCAUGAGAGAAUACACACAGGAGAAAAGCCUUACCAGUGUUCCCAUUGUGGAAAGCAUUUUGCCCAGUUAGGAAACCUGAACCAGCAUGAGAGGACACACACAGGUAAGAAGAUGAACCGCUGCUCCCAGUGUGGAAAGAGAUUUACCCGGUUAAGGUACCUGAAAGAGCAUGAAAGAAUACAUACAAAUACACAGGAGAAGAAGACAUACCACUGCUCUUAUUAUGGAAAGACAUUUUCCCAGUCAGAGGACUUGAAAACACAUGAGAGAAUAGAGAGACUGUGUUCUGACUUGUGUUUUUGACUGAGAAUGUGUGUUUUUGUUUGGGCUGUCAGGCUUGAGAUAACUUUGUGUAAUGUUAGUGCACUAUUUUUUAAUUGCGAUUAAUCCAUUGUCUGAAAGCGUUGAAAAUACACUGAAAGCAUCCAAAAUACAUACUAUAUACCGCUAAAAUCUACAAUGCCAUUUUGACACGUCCACUGUUGGGUGCUGUUGAGUCAUAAUAUCCAUAACAACUAGAGGUCAAACAGGGAAAUGGCUCCAAUCGUUUUUCCACCAUUCAUUUUUCCCAUAGUACUGUGUUUUGUUUAGGCUCACCCUGGUGUGACGUUUUGACAACCAUGUAAAUAUCUCUAGGACAAGGUGACUGAUGCCACACCGUGUGUUGUGAAUGUAUUGUAAUGUUUUUAAUAUUGUAUAACUGCCUUUAUUUUGCUGGACCCCAGGAAGAGUAGCUGCUGCCUUGGCAGGAACUAAUGGAGAUCCUUUAUUCACGGAUUCGAAAAUGCUAAUUAGCAUCAAAGUAGACGACAUGCAAGACUACUAAUAAUAAACUUCUUCCAUUAAGUAUGAUGGAGGCCACUAUGACUACAAAUCCCUGCAGUUCCACGGAUUCAGACUACAAAUAAUAAUAACAAACUUCUUCCAUUAAGUAUGAUGGAGGCCACUAUGACUACAAAUCCCUGCAGUUCCACGGAUUCAGACUACAAAUAAUAAUUAUAACAAACUUCUUCCAUUAAGUAUGACGGAGGUCACUGUGUUCCUGGGGACCUUCAAUGCUGCAGAAAUGUUUUUGUACCCUUCCCCAGAUCUGUGCCUCGACACAAUCCUGUCUUGGAGCUCU